GACGAACGCUGGCGGCGUGCUUAACACAUGCAAGUCGAACGGAAAGGCCCUGCUUUUGUGGGGUGCUCGAGUGGCGAACGGGUGAGUAACACGUGAGUAACCUGCCCUUGACUUUGGGAUAACUUCAGGAAACUGGGGUUACUACCGGAUAGGAGACCCUGCUGCAUGGUGGGGGUUGGAAAGUUUCGGCGGUUGGGGAUGGAUUCGCGGCUUACCAGCUUGUUGGUGGGGUAGUGGCUUACCAAGGCUUUGACGGGUAGCCGGCCUGUGAGGGUGACCGGCCACAUUGCGACUGAGGUACGGCCCAGACUCCUACGGGAGCCAGCAGUGGGGAAUAUUGCACAGUGGGCGGAAGCCUGUUGCAGCAACGCCGCGUGCGGGAUGACGGCCUUCGGGGUGUAAACCGCUUUCGCCUGUGACGAAGCGGGAGUGACGGUAAUGGGUAAAGAAGCACCGGCUAACUACGUG
rnacentral:rRNA from 1 species